rnacentral:rRNA from 1 species
UACGUAGGGUCCGAGCGUUGUCCGGAAUUAUUGGGCGUAAAGGGCUCGUAGGCGGUUGGUUACGUCGGGAGUGAAAACUCAGGGCUCAACCCUGAGCGUGCUUCCGAUACGGGCCGACUAGAGGUAUGCAGGGGAGAACGGAAUUCCUGGUGUAGCGGUGGAAUGCGCAGAUAUCAGGAGGAACACCGGUGGCGAAGGCGGUUCUCUGGGCAUUACCUGACGCUGAGGAGCGAAAGCAUGGGGAGCGAACAGG